GCCGGAGUGGCGACUGCACGGUGGACGAAAAAGAGGGGUUUUCCGGGUUGUCAGUCCCACCCACACCGUAGGCAAUCGUCUCUGUUCCAACCGCCACACCUCGUGUUCACUCAAGGAUAGCGAGAAUUUUGUCGAUGACGGGAUUCAAAUUGAGCCUUUCAACCUAGAUAAAGAAACGGAAGAAGGUUAUUUUCAUGCAGCAGCCAAUUUUGUUGAAUAUGUAAGAGAGAAUGAGAUUAAGCGAUGGUGUGCAGAACAUGCAGAAGUGUAAACAAAAUGGAGGGCCCCACAUGGCUUUAUCUGACAGAGAAGCAAAAGAGUGAUGGAAGAAAUUCAUUAAAGGUUGCUAAUGGGAGACAACAGCAUGGCAACCUGGCUGGAAACGCACGAGGCAGCACCAGAACGAGACUUGAGAAUUUGGCUUUAAAAGAGUGAGAGGCCGUGAGUGAGAGGGUUACGCUUGGGAGGAGGCUCUCGGUUCUUCUCCUCCAAGUUCAGUAGAUUAGUUUUGAACUCUAGAUAAUGUAAUGUAGUGAGAUUGUUGUAU